rnacentral:rRNA from 1 species
CUUGGUCAUUUAGAGGAAGUAAAAGUCGUAACAAGGUUUCCGUAGGUGAACCUGCGGAAGGAUCAUUCAUAAUAAGUGUUUUAUGGCACUUUUUAAAUCCAUAUCCACCUUGUGUGCAAUGUCAGUCGAUCUUCUUCAUGGAGAUCGACCAAACAUCAACCUUUAUCUUUUAACUCUUUGUCUGAAAAAUAUUAUGAAUAAACAAUUCAAAAUACAACUUUCAACAACAGAUCUCUUGGCUCUCGCAUCGAUGAAGAACGCAGCGAAAUGCGAUACGUAAUGUGAAUUGCAGAAUUCAGUGAAUCAUCGAAUCUUUGAACGCAUAUUGCGCUCUUUGGUAUUCCGAAGAGCAUGCUUGUUUGAGUAUCAGUAAACACCUCAAAGCUUUUGGAUUUUUUAAUCGAAAAGCUUUGGACUUGAGCAAUCCCAACACCAAUCUUUUUGAGGUCGGUGGCGGGUUGCUUGAAAUGCAGGUGCAGCUGGACAUUCUCCUGAGCUAAAAGCAUAUUCAUUUAGUCCCGUCAAACGGAUUAUUACUUUUGCUGCAGCUAACAUAAACGGAGUUUGACCGUAUUGGCUGACUGAUGCAGGAUUUCACAAGGGUCGGCAACGAUUCUUGUUAAACUCGAUCUCAAAUCAAGUAAGACUACCCGCUGAACUUAAGCAUAUCAAUAAGCGGAGGA